rnacentral:rRNA from 1 species
CCUACGGGAGGCAGCAGUAGGGAAUAUUGCUCAAUGGGGGAAACUCUGAAGCAGCAACGCCGCGUGGAGGAUGAAGGUUUUCGGAUUGUAAACUCUCUUUUUUAGAGAAGAUAAUGAUGGUACGUGACGAAUAAUCACCGGCUAACUCCGUGCCAGCAGCCGCGGUAAUACGGCGGGUGCAGGCGUUACUCGGAAUCACUGGGCGUAAAGGGCGCGUAGGGGGGAUAGCAAGUCAGAUGUGAAAUCCUAUGGCUUAACCAUAGAACUGCAUUUGAAACUGUUAUUCUAGAGUAUGGGAGAGGUAGGUGGAAUUCGUGGUGUAGGGGUAAAAUGCGUAGAGAUCAAGAAGAAUACUCAUUGCGAAGGCAGCCUGCUAGAACAUAACUGACGCUGAUGCGCGAAAGCGUGGGGAGCAAACAGGAUUAGAUACCCCUGUAGUC